rnacentral:lncRNA from 1 species
AGGGAUGUAAGAAAAUGAAAAGAAUCAAGUUGUAAUAAUAUUGUAAAAGCAUGAUUGUAUUUGGAAGUUAAAUGUAAUAUGUAAUUGUGAUGUAAAAUGUAUCUAGUGUAUGUGAAUGCUUGUAAUAACAAAUAGAUUAUGUUUUUGAUACUUCCUUAUGCAAUCUUUGAUUGAAAUGUGUUCCUGGUUGGAAUUUCGUACAUUGUAUUGAUUGCGACGCCUUGAAUGUACAGGGGAGACUCUGUCCGCGAUACAGGGAAAACCCUAUCCGUUCGGCGGUCUGUCGGCGGCGCCGCGACCCGGCCAAAUAGGCGGGUGGUCGCGGAUUGUGACAGAUAAGAUGGUAUCAGAGUAUAAAAAAAACAUAAAAGGGAUAAUAGAAAAUGGUUUAGUUGGGCCUAGGAGA